GCGAAGCGAGAGAACGUUGCCGCAGGCAACGGCCCGAAGGGCGAAGCGCUUUAGCGCCGAGUAAUCCUUCCCCCACCACUG
rnacentral:sRNA from 1 species